rnacentral:lncRNA from 1 species
CCCCCCCCAGGCAGGAGUGGGAGGUUCACAGUGUUGUCUUCCCACUGCACGCCCCUUACAGCCCCCCAGCUCCUCCCUCUCCCAAAGUCAGAAUCCCAGGCUCACGGCUCUGCUGGCAUACCUCUGAUGGGAACCUGAUUACCUCCUGCAGAUUUUCUCUCCCUUCUCCUCGGUCCCUCAGGGAUCCUUCUGGAGGUAGAAGUCAACCCGUCUAACCAGCCUCCUCAAGAGGACCCCCAAAAUCUGGCAUUUAAAAUCCAGGGGAAAUCUCCCUCUUUCCUCCGCUGGAGAUCCUUGCGGGAGAAUGAUGUCCAGGGAGGUAGAUGGACUGUCAGCCCCACGAGGCAGGGUCUGUUGGUUUUACGCAUUGCUGCUUCCCCAGCUCUUAGCAGAAGGCCUGGUGCAUGGUGGGGCCACCAGAAGUGUUUGUGGCAGGCAGGAGCAGUGGAGAAAAACUAGGAUUUGGCAUGACACAGCUCUUGGUUCAAGACUGGUUCCUGUAACCUCCCUGAACCAGAGUGGUUUCAUCUGCACAGUGAGGACUCGAUGAGGCCGUGUAUGUAGAACUCUCUGCAUACGGUGGGCACAGAUAAAGGCUGGUGUUCUUCCUCCCCUAUGUCAGCCUCUCUCUUUUCUCCUUGGCAGCCCCGGAGAGCAGGUGGGUAUCUGUGGAUGGAUACACUUCCCUGGUCAUGGUUGGAAGUUCUGGGUGAUUGGGGAGGAUUGGCUGAAGGUGUGAUUCUAGGUGAUUCUGGAGGCAGUCACACACACUCUGGGACAUGCAGCCGGAUCUGCUGUGGGUGAGAUAAGGAACCUGCCAGUUGGUUCUAACAGCAGCACAGAGGGGCAGAGGAGAACAUUUCAGGACAGGGCAAGCACCUGUGCAAGGGCCCUGGGGCUAGUGGAAGCAGGUGAGUAGAGAGACUGGGGGUUGGGGUGGGAGGGUGUGGAGUGAUAUAGUUUGGAUGUGUGUCCCCUCCAGAUCUCAUGAAAUGUGCUCCCUAAUGUCGGAGGUGGGGCCUGGUGGGAGGUGUUGGAUCAUGGGGUGGGUCCCUCAUAGAUGGCUUAGUGCCAUCCCCUUGGUGAUGAGUGAGCUCUCGCUCUGUAGUUCACGUGACAGCUGGUUGUUUAAAAGGAACCAGGCACCUCCAUCUCUCUCUUGCACCCUCUCUCACCAUGUAACAUGCUGCCCCUCUUCACUUUCCUUUGUGAUUGGAAGCUUCCUGAGGCCUCACCGGAAGCUGAUACUGAUGCCAUGCUUCCUGCACCAUCUGCAGAACUGCACUAGAGCUGACCAUGUCCCAGGACUAUGUGGUUUGCAAGUACUAAUCCAUUUCAUCCUCAAGAAAAUGUCUAAGGUUUCAU